rnacentral:rRNA from 1 species
AAUGAACGCUGGCGGUAGGCCUAACACAUGCAAGUCGAACGGCAGCACAGUAAGAGCUUGCUCUUACGGGGUGCGAGUGGCGGACGGGUGAGGAAUACAUCGGAAUCUACUUUUUUGUGGGGGUUCACGUAGGGGAACUUACGCUAAUACCGCAUACCACCUACCGGUGAAAGCAGGGGAUCUUUUCACCUUGCGCGAUUGAAUGAGCCGAUGUCGGAUUAGCUAGUUGGCGGGGUAAAGGCCCACCAAGGCGACGAUCCGUAGCUGGUCUGAGAGGAUGAUCAGCCACACUGGAACUGAGACACGGUCCAGACUCCUAAGGGAGGCAGCAGUGGGGAAUAUUGGACAAUGGGCGCAAGCCUGAUCCAGCCAUACCGCGUGGGUGAAGAAGGCCUUCGGGUUGUAAAGCCCUUUUGUUGGGAAAGAAAAGCAGCAGGUUAAUACCCCGCUGUUCUGACGGUACCCAAAGAAUAAGCACCGGCUAACUUCGUG